rnacentral:rRNA from 1 species
ACGAACGCUGGCGGCGUGCCUAAUACAUGCAAGUCGAACGCUUCUUUUUCCACCGGAGCUUGCUCCACCGGAAAAAGAGGAGUGGCGAACGGGUGAGUAACACGUGGGUAACCUGCCCAUCAGAAGGGGAUAACACUUGGAAACAGGUGCUAAUACCGUAUAACAAUCGAAACCGCAUGGUUUUGAUUUGAAAGGCGCUUUCGGGUGUCGCUGAUGGAUGGACCCGCGGUGCAUUAGCUAGUUGGUGAGGUAACGGCUCACCAAGGCGACGAUGCAUAGCCGACCUGAGAGGGUGAUCGGCCACAUUGGGACUGAGACACGGCCCAAACUCCUACGGGAGGCAGCAGUAGGGAAUCUUCGGCAAUGGACGAAAGUCUGACCGAGCAACGCCGCGUGAGUGAAGAAGGUUUUCGGAUCGUAAAACUCUGUUGGUAGAGAAGAACAAGGAUGAGAGUAACUGUUCAUCCCUUGACGGUAUCUAACCAGAAAGCCACGGCUAACUACGUGCCAGCAGCCGCGGUAAUACGUAGGUGGCAAGCGUUGUCCGGAUUUAUUGGGCGUAAAGCGAGCGCAGGCGGUUUCUUAAGUCUGAUGUGAAAGCCCCCGGCUCAACCGGGGAGGGUCAUUGGAAACUGGGAGACUUGAGUGCAGAAGAGGAGAGUGGAAUUCCAUGUGUAGCGGUGAAAUGCGUAGAUAUAUGGAGGAACACCAGUGGCGAAGGCGGCUCUCUGGUCUGUAACUGACGCUGAGGCUCGAAAGCGUGGGGAGCAAACAGGAUUAGAUACCCUGGUAGUCCACGCCGUAAACGAUGAGUGCUAAGUGUUGGAGGGUUUCCGCCCUUCAGUGCUGCAGCUAACGCAUUAAGUACUCCGCCUGGGGCGUACGACCGCAAGGUUGAAACUCAAAGGAAUUGACGGGGACCCGCACAAGCAGUGGAUUAUGUGGUUUAAUUCGAAGCAACGCGAAGAACCUUACCAGGUCUUGACAUCCUUUGACCACUCUAGAGAUAGAGCUUCCCCUUCGGGGGCAAAGUGACAGGUGGUGCAUGGUUGUCGUCAGCUCGUGUCGUGAGAUGUUGGGUUAAGUCCCGCAACGAGCGCAACCCUUAUUGUUAGUUGCCAUCAUUUAGUUGGGCACUCUAGCAAGACUGCCGGUGACAAACCGGAGGAAGGUGGGGAUGACGUCAAAUCAUCAUGCCCCUUAUGACCUGGGCUACACACGUGCUACAAUGGGAAGUACAACGAGUCGCAAAGUCGCGAGGCUAAGCUAAUCUCUUAAAGCUUCUCUCAGUUCGGAUUGUAGGCUGCAACUCGCCUACAUGAAGCCGGAAUCGCUAGUAAUCGCGGAUCAGCACGCCGCGGUGAAUACGUUCCCGGGCCUUGUACACACCGCCCGUCACACCACGAGAGUUUGUAACACCCGAAGUCGGUGAGGUAACCUUUUGGAGCCAGCCGCCUAAGGUGGGAUAGAUGAUUGGGGUG